rnacentral:rRNA from 1 species
CGGGUGGCUGCUCCAGUGGGGAAUAUUGCACAAUGGGCGCAAGCCUGAUGCAGCCAUGCCGCGUGUAUGAAGAAGGCCUUCGGGUUGUAAAGUACUUUCAGCGGGGAGGAAGGGAGUAAAGUUAAUACCUUUGCUCAUUGACGUUACCCGCAGAAGAAGCACCGGCUAACUCCGUGCCAGCAGCCGCGGUAAUACGGAGGGUGCAAGCGUUAAUCGGAAUUACUGGGCGUAAAGCGCACGCAGGCGGUUUGUUAAGUCAGAUGUGAAAUCCCCGGGCUCAACCUGGGAACUGCAUCGGAUACUGGCAAGCUUGAGUCUCGUAGAGGGGGGUAGAAUUCCAGGUGUAGCGGUGAAAUGCGUAGAGAUCUGGAGGAAUACCGGUGGCGAAGGCGGCCCCCUGGACGAAGACUGACGCUCAGGUGCGAAAGCGUGGGGAGCAAACAGGAUUAGAUACCCCUGUAGUC